AACCGUGCAAAGGUAGCGUAAUCAUUUGUCUAUUAAUUGUAGACCAGUAUGAAAGGCAUAAUGAGGGUCUGUCUGUCUCUUAUAAUAAAUCAAUUAAACUGAUCUCCUAGUAAAAAAGCUAGAAUAUACACACAAGACCAGAAGACCCUGUGAAGCUUAAACUAAACUAUUAAACCCUAUAAUACUUACUUUCGGUUGGGGCGACCUUGGAAAAAAAAAGAACUUCCAAAUAUAUGACCAUAACUCAGACAUCGGCCCACAAGCCUAUAUAGACCCAGUACAGCUGACAAUUGAACCAAGUUACUCCAGGGAUAACAGCGCCAUCUUCUUCAAGAGUCCAUAUCAAAAAGAAGGUUUACGACCUCGAUGUUGGAUCAGGACAUCCUAA
rnacentral:rRNA from 1 species